CAGUUUUGUAUUCAGAUCCUACCUAAACACCCAAUAUAUGUCACUGCACUUCCCAUUCAGGAUGCACUUUUGGAACCCUCCCUCAAGUUCUGCCCAGCUGAAGGCACCAAGAAUGCUACCUGCUCCAAUUCUAAUCAGAAGGACAAUUCAGUCACUUCAGCUUUAAGAGAAAGAGUCAGGGUCACAUCAAUGAGAAUGAUCCAGAGAAACAGUGUCAAGUCCCUGUUGCACAGUUAAGCUGAAGCAGUCAACAAGCAGAUAACCAAGAGGUCAGAAUCCAAAAAUAUUGAACACAGGUUAGAAGAAAGGAAUAAAAUGGUCUAAAGCAAGCAGGUCAAAGACACAAACACCAUUUCCACAAGGACAGAGAUGUAUCUUUUGUUUCCUUAUUUUACUCCAUACCAAGAAAGUCCUCCAAUAUUCACUGAAUGAAUGAGUGAAUGAAUGCAUCAUCAUGGUGUGCAGUUAUUUUUAUGGUGCCAACUGUAUGGCAUUGGAAGCCUGGGAAGUACACUGGCCUCAAAGUGCAAAGGAUUUAAAGAGCUAGACACUAAUCCCCCAGGGAUCAAGGCUGCAUAUCCUCCCUGCUGGACACUGAACUGCUGCCCUCCCCUCCAGUCUCCAUGGUUUGGUUUUCUUCCUGCCCUUUGAGGCCCUGCAUUGCUAUUCUCAUGCUGCAGUGUAAUCUUCCAGUUCUCCGACUUCCUGGCUGAAUGUGAUGCAGUAUAAGGUGCACAAUAACAGCUCGGGAGUGACACUACAUGAUCCUGCCCUAAGGAUUCUCCCACAGAGGCUACCCUGCCACCUUGUACAGCCUGCCACUUAAUGCCAGAAGAAAUGAGAGACGAGC
ensembl:lncRNA